CGGGGGCGGGCGCAGCGUUCCUUGACUUCCUUCUUCCGGGUGCGCACGCGCUCGUUGCAAUUCUUGGGUCGUAAGGAGAGAGACAAAAAAAAAGAAAGCUUGCUUUAGUAUGUGCCGUGGAACCGGCCUCUACCUUUCCAGUAUCUGGAACUUGGAUUGGAUGCAUCAGAGUGCCAAAGCUGUGUCUAUUUCUAUGUCUCUGGACCUCCGUUCCUGACUUCUGAGGUUUUGAGUCAGAGUUCUCCUCUGGAGAGACUGGAUUUGAAAAGGAAGGAUGGACGAGAAUGAGAGCCAUGUGCUUUAAAGGCAAUUUUGAACACUGUAAGAAUGUAUCAUUCAGAGCAUACAGCAGAGUUUGGAGACACCUGCCCGUGAUCCCAACAACAUUCCAGGGGUUUGAAGGAGGAGGAUUGCAAGUUCCCUUCUCACCCAGAGAAAUUAGGGUGAAGAAUGAAUGUGAGAAUGGAAAUUGUUAAGGAAGACCAUCUGCUGCUCUAGAAGAUAAUGACAGGAAGCUGAAUCAUCUCAAUGAUUCUGAAACCUGUGAAGGCAUUGGAAAAUCAUAGCUUUUGGAACAAGAGUAGACUAUGAUGAGUGACUACACAUCAGCCAAAUAAUAUUUUGUAGUUACUUUAGAUCAGUAGAAGAAACAAACUUAUAAAAUGGAGAAAUCAUUGGCUUGCUUUGGUCAUUAUUGAGUUUGUUGUAUGUACUGUCCAUUAGUAUUACUUUCUGCCUAGAUCAGGGCUAAGUAGAAAAAAAUAACUUGAUUUUUUAAAAAAAAUUUAGUAAAUGCAAGUUUCAUCUUUCUACCUUGUCCUAAUUUCUCAAGUGUUUCUUAACUUCUGUUAAAUAGGGAUUUAGCUCCCUUAAAAUCAUUGAGAAAGACUGGAAAUCCUGGAAAUUUAAAGAAAUAUGUGUAUUUAGAAUCUUAUUUUUUUUGAUUCAUCAAUUAUAAUUCAGAAAAUUUCUAUAUAAUCUGCACACAUUUCACGCCUCCCUGUUGAACUAACAGAUAAAUUUUUUCUCAUUUUAUAGUAUUCCUUAAACCACUUUGUUGUCCAACAGCCACUAGUUUUCUUAAACCCAAAAGUAUUACUCGCCUACUCAUUGAAGGUAAUGGAAGUAGAUAAAUGAGUAGGUAACUGAAACCUACUCAUUAUGGUAUCACAGUGAGGUGAUUUAACUUCCACUCCAUCCUGGGAAUUUCUGAGACUCCUCAUUGGUGCCACUUGUUACCAGUUACAGUGAACCCAGAAAUUCAGCAUUCCUGAUUUCUAUGCGCCAAGCCUCGCUGGCCUGAGAAUAUCGUGCAACAUGAAGAUCGAUGCAUGACUUUGGAAAGGGAAAGAUCACUGGUCCUUUCGUGUGUCUUGUUGCUCCCACUUUGAGAGAUGAAAUGGAGGUUCGGUGAAGGGGAUUCUGUAGGGUGAUGACUGUCUGGGAGAGGUGGAGAGCACAGUGCUGGUCUAUGGGCUUGAGCAAGAACUGCCUCCUGCUGCUUCUCUCCACCAAGGGUUUUCUGUGACUGAAAUCCUUUGGUGGAUAGGAAAGAGGACCUAGGAAAGGGUCAAAAAUAUGAAUAAUUUAGCUUGAAAUGCGAAUUCUAUAAAAGGGAAUAGGAUGUUUGUAUUGCCCUUGUACAGGAUCUAUUUUAUGUCUGAAUAAAGCAGAAUAAGGCUAUGCCUUUCGUUAUUACACAAACAUAUACUUUGCAUCUUUACCAACCCUUCUGUGGGAUGCUGAAAUAAAGACAAGUCCAUCAUACAGGA